rnacentral:rRNA from 1 species
UACGUAGGGCGCAAGCGUUGUCCGGAAUUAUUGGGCGUAAAGAGCUUGUAGGCGGUUUGUCGCGUCUGCUGUGAAAAUCCGGGGCUCAACCCCGGACUUGCAGUGGGUACGGGCAGACUAGAGUGAUGUAGGGGAGACUGGAAUUCCUGGUGUAGCGGUGAAAUGCGCAGAUAUCAGGAGGAACACCGAUGGCGAAGGCAGGUCUCUGGGCAUUAACUGACGCUGAGGAGCGAAAGCAUGGGGAGCGAACAGG